GUUAAGUUAGUUUAGGCAAAACAUCAAGCUGUGGAUUUGAAGAUAAGAAUAAUCUUACUUAACC
rnacentral:tRNA from 1 species